rnacentral:rRNA from 1 species
CAGCCGCCGCGGUAAUACGUAGGGUGCAAGCGUUGUCCGGAAUUAUUGGGCGUAAAGAGCUCGUAGGCGGUUUGUCGCGUCGGCUGUGAAAACCUGAGGCUCAACCUCGGGCCUGCAGUCGAUACGGGCAGACUAGAGUUCGGUAGGGGAGACUGGAAUUCCUGGUGUAGCGGUGAAAUGCGUAGAGAUCGGGAGGAACAUCAGUGGCGAAGGCGGCCAUCUGGGACAACACUGACGCUGAGGCACGAAAGCGUGGGGAGCAAACAGGAUUAGAUACCCCGGUAGUCCCUGUCUCUUAUAC